CCUACGGGAGGCAGCAGUAGGGAAUCUUCCACAAUGGACGAAAGUCUGAUGGAGCAACGCCGCGUGAGUGAAGAAGGGUUUCGGCUCGUAAAACUCUGUUGUUGAAGAAGAACACAUCUGAGAGUAACUGUUCAGGUGUUGACGGUAUUUAACCAGAAAGCCACGGCUAACUACGUGCCAGCAGCCGCGGUAAUAAU
rnacentral:rRNA from 1 species